rnacentral:rRNA from 1 species
UACGAAGGGAGCUAGCGUUGUUAGGAAUCACUGGGCGUAAAGCGCACGUAGGCGGAUGUGUCAGUCAGGGGUGAAAUCCCGGAGCUCAACUUCGGAACUGCCUUUGAUACAGCACGUCUUGAGUCCGAUAGAGGUGGGUGGAAUUCCUAGUGUAGAGGUGAAAUUCGUAGAUAUUAGGAAGAACACCGGUGGCGAAGGCGGCCUGCUGGGCAGUUGCUGACACUGAGGCGCGACAGCGUGGGGAGCAAACAGG